rnacentral:rRNA from 1 species
CCAGACUCCUACGGGGGCAGCAGUAGGGAAUCUUCGGCAAUGGACGGAAGUCUGACCGAGCAACGCCGCGUGAGUGAAGAAGGUUUUCGGAUCGUAAAGCUCUGUUGUAAGAGAAGAACGAGUGUGAGAGUGGAAAGUUCACACUGUGACGGUAUCUUACCAGAAAGGGACGGCUAACUACGUGCCAGCAGCCGCGGUAAUACGUAGGUCCCGAGCGUUGUCCGGAUUUAUUGGGCGUAAAGCGAGCGCAGGCGGUUAGAUAAGUCUGAAGUUAAAGGCUGUGGCUUAACCAUAGUACGCUUUGGAAACUGUUUAACUUGAGUGCAAGAGGGGAGAGUGGAAUUCCAUGUGUAGCGGUGAAAUGCGUAGAUAUAUGGAGGAACACCGGUGGCGAAAGCGGCUCUCUGGCUUGUAACUGACGCUGAGGCUCGAAAGCGUGGGGAGCAAACAGGAUUAGAUACCCUGGUAGUCCACGCCGUAAACGAUGAGUGCUAGGUGUUAGACCCUUUCCGGGGUUUAGUGCCGCAGCUAACGCAUUAAGCACUCCGCCUGGGGAGUACGACCGCAAGGUUGAAACUCAAAGGAAUUGACGGGGGCCCGCACAAG